UAUCUCUCUCUCUCUUAUCAGUCACCACCAAACACUCACACCCACUAUCUCUUUUAAUCAUCAAAUCUCUCUAUCUUUAUUAAAGUAUAACAUUCUUUCUCUUUUUUUUUUUUAUAAAGCAGAACCCACUUUAUCUUAAUAUUCAAGACUGCAUCUCUCUCAAGAAAGGAAUGCUGCAUCUCUCUCUUUCUCACAAUUAAAAACGUUGCUCACAACUCUCUCUCUCUCUCGCUCGAUUCCGGCCAUCCCCUCCCCGCGUCCUGGCCGUUCCGGUCGCCAGCGAGGCCGCCGCGUGGAGCUGCUGCCGCUGACUGCUCGUGGAGCACCAAGGCGAGCUCCUCGCCUGAAACCGUCGACUGCUGCUGUUCACGGAGUCGCGCCGACCGCUGCUGUUCAUGGAGUCGCGCCGUCCGCUGCUGUUCAUGGAGUCGCCGCUGGCUGGUCUGCUUCGCCGGAGUCGCGGCCUGGAGUUGCUGCAGGCUCGUCCGGUGGUCAGUGGCUCGCUGGAGGAGCGCCGCCGCCGACCGCUGCUGUUGGCAGCAAGAGCCCGGCAGCCGCCUCUCCCGGAGCCGCCGUCGCCGUGAGUCGCAGAGCUCCGACAAUCCACCAUCCUUUCUCUCUCGUUUUAUCACUCACGAUAGAUAUGCUGCUGGAGCUGGAGUCAAAAAAAAAAAUGUCAAUAGAUGGCUGAGCAUGCUUGAGCAUGCUUAAAGGAUAUCUGCAGAUUUUCUUCACACACAUACACUAUUCCAUUUUUUUUUUAAUGUUGGUAGAUAGAUAGAAAAAUAGGGGUUUGUAAAGUGAAGUAUAAACAGAAGCAAUAAUUCUUGUCUUGGAAUUUCUAUAUCUGUAAUAUUGUAUUGCAUCUUUUUUUUUAAAUAAAAUCCAACUACCGGGUUUUGUUAA